AGGAGAGAGGGACAACAGUAGGAGCAGGCAGAUCUUGCUGUUUCAACCAAAACCUCAUGCUGACCAGAGUUGAGGAACAGAAGAAGAUGGUGAAGGCCUGCAGGUAUAGGUGUUCAGCAUGUCAUCUGAAAUAUUCCCCACAGAGGCAAAAAGAAAGGAAAUUAUCUCUGAAAAGGAAUGGGAGGACAAGUCAGCAGAAUAUGUCAAUGUUUUGGUUGAAGAAGCUGCUUGAAUCUGGGCUUUUCUGUGCCAUGUGUUCUCCCAGGGCCAGCACAAAGAAGGGCUUUUGGUGCAGGCCCAAGACCACCAUAAUCAUCAUUGAUUAUUCCUCUCCACGCCAGUGUCUCUAAAUAAACUUUCUCUUCUUUCUCUGACAAAGGUGUUUUUGAGUGUUACUGUUUAGCUGAAGAGUGACGUUGAGUGACCUUAGUACCCUAGCCCUUCAUGUAAUCAGAUGGGUGUUGUAAGCAGAGGGAGAACCAUCAGAAAUGAAGAUGCUUGUUUUCCUAGAAACAAGCCCAGGUCAUCCAUCAUGAAGUCCAGGAAUUGUAAAUGUGAGGAAGUGCAAAGACACAACGUACACUUACAAAGGCAUAUGUGCAUUUGGAAUUCUUUAAAGGACAACAUCCUCGAGCUUCUCCUGGGCCUCAGCCAAAACGGAGACACAAAAUGCAUCAUGCUAACAUUGUUGUAUGUAUGUGUAUGACUACAUAAUAUUCUAUCAUUUUGUUUUAUAUAAUCUAUGAACCAACAUCUUAUAUUUACUGUAGUUCUAUUUUUAUUAAAACGUAUAUGAAAAUUUACAUUUUUAUUCAGUAUUGUUUGUGUUUUUUAUAUUUUCUUAGGAUACAGCUUAUAAAAGUGGAUUUAUAGGGUCAAAGGGGUUAGGUUUUUUCUAAAUUGCUUUUCAGAGAGGUUUCAUUGACCUGUAGUCCCAUCAGUA
rnacentral:lncRNA from 1 species